AUUCUUCUUCUUUGAUUUUUAUUUUUAUUUUCAUGUCAUAAACCUCAGAAGUAUAGAUAGUAAAAAAGACCAUAGUUGGAUUAAAAAAAUUUUUUUUAUAUGGUACAAGGGCUAAAGUGGUUGGGGACAGUAUAUGGACAAGAUAGAAAACUGUGAAGGAUUUUCAUCAAGUGAAAAGAAAACUAACAAAAAUAAAAAUAGAUAACAAAGAAAAGGUCCCCAGCAGUGGGAGAUAGCCACCUACAGCCAGUCAAACAACCCACAAAUCCAAGAUUACCCUAAUAUCAAAGGUAAUUGCUCUCUCCCAGCUGUAUUCUCUGGCUUACAGAAGCAUGUCACAAGUAGAACAUGCUUGCCACUCUUCUGUAUUUCAACAAAUUAACUGAAGGGCAGCACCUUUUCCCUCUCCACUCUCUUUACUCUUCAAUUGGAAUUUGUAAAAGUUAAUGAGAGCUUGGAUGAUAAAGAGGACAGUAUAUGUCAUCAGUCCUUUCAUUCACAUCCACGUCGCACUUAAUCUUGUUUUGCCCACCUGAGGAAAACUACCUUUCCUGACUUAAAAAUUGGUGUAAUCAUCAGAAUGUACUCAGCUGAUAUAUACAAGAACUGUUCUACAGCUAUUGUAUACAGGGCAGAGCAGCAAUGCUUGGACACUGGACAAGUAUGUGCAGAACAGUUUUAUCAUAACAGGUGCAUCUCAAAAGGGUUAGGAUUAAGGUUGACUGAUGGUGUUUCCAUAUAGAGUCUGUCAUAGACCAGUAAUGCCUCCUCUUGCACUACUGGUCAGGGAUUUCUAGAAGUUAUUGUUAUUGUCUCUAUAAUUGUGGUUUUAUAGCAAUGCUACCACUUCCUGGCUCAGUACUGGGAAUUCUGCCAAUUACAGUAGAUGUCUGUCAAGACAUCAGCAAUCAAGUCUAGCAUGUAUAUGUAAAGCUUGUAGGUUAGGCCAUCCAAAACAAGGGAUUUGCCUUCUGCUCGACCACUUACCAUCUGUGUAUCUCAGCUGCUAGUAAUUGCUUUUCACAGCACUUUAUGUAUCUUCUGCUGAGAGGCAGGGUAGCCUGUUAAAAUAGGCUCUAAACUCUACUACUGUUUUUUGUCCAUAACCACCACCACCACCACCACCAUUUGCUCUGAAUUGUUGAACAAAGUGCCUCUGGAAAACUGCACACAUCUGCUUAGAAUUGAACUUUCAUUAAAUAGAUUAUUGGGUGUUUAUUUGUCACAAAGAAAAUCUAACAUUUUGAAUCAGAUUUGUUUGGAGAAAGGAACAUAAAACAUAAGAAUUCUCUUCCCUCAUUAACAUUAUGCAUACAUGCCACUAUUCUUCUCUUUAGAUAAUGGUGGUUAAUCUUAUCUACUAUUUGUUUUAUUGAAGGAUGUUGUAAUAAAAGUACAUUCUAAAGAAUAUUCCAUUUUAUUUUUGGUGUUUUAUUUUUUUGAGAUAUCUUUAUGGAAUAUGUUCUGAUGAAAUGUCUAAUUUGCAAAUAUGGAACUGUCACUGGAAAUAAUAGCUUUUGUCACAAUUUAGCAUGAAAGCUUGUUGAUUCAUAUUUCUGGAAAUCUUAGAGAAAAUGACUGACAGAGCAAGGAAAUAGUAAAUGUUUAUAUUCUUAUUAUAGAUUAAUAAGGCCUUUGUUCCUUAUAUUCUAAAGUAUAACAAAGCCCUCUACAAACAACACCUCUGACUACACAUUACAGAAUUCUACUCACAGCAGUUACCGAUUUCAGUUUUCCAUUGGUAGCAUGAAAUUACUCUUCAUUAGCGUCAUUAUCAUAAUUAUCAUUACAUCUUGCUUAGCAUGGUGUCUUUCUCCCUAUUUGGUCUGAAAUGUGGACAAAAACUUCUCGUAAGAAACAUGCCAACAUUAUUUUCCAAUUAACAGUCAUACAACUAUUACCUUUGUUCCAACAUUUAUUUUAC